rnacentral:tRNA from 1 species
UCCUUAGUAACUUAGUGGUAGAGCGGUUGGCUAUUAACUGAUUAGUCGUAGGUUCAAAUCCUACUUGGAGAG